CAAUAGCGUAUAUUAAAGUUGUUGCGGUUAAAAAGCUCGUAGUUGGAUUUCUGCUGAGAACGACCGGUCCGCCCUUUGGGUGUGUAUCUGGCUCUUUCUUGGCAUCUUCUUGGUGAACGUUGCUGCACUUGACUGUGUGGAGCGCUACCCAGGACUUUUACUUUGAGGAAAAUAGAGUGUUUCAAGCAGGCAUACGCCUUGAAUACAUUAGCAUGGAAUAAUAAGAUAGGACCUCGGUUCUAUUUUGUUGGUUUCUAGAGCUGAGGUAAUGAUUAAUAGGGAUAGUUGGGGGCAUUCGUAUUUAACUGUCAGAGGUGAAAUUCUUGGAUUUGUUAAAGACGGACUACUGCGAAANCANNNGCCAAGGAUGUUUUCAUNGA
rnacentral:rRNA from 1 species